UGGACGUUGGCUCUGGUGGUGAU
rnacentral:ncRNA from 4 species